CUGAAUAAGGCCCUUCAGCUCACUUCGACGUCAUUCCUUGGCACCGAGAUGCCACCGAAUGGCCCCAAAGCGCAAGGAAUUGGAGCGGGCUGACAACAUUGACAACUUCUGGAUCGAAAUGGAAGCCCCCCAUGCCCGGCUGAGUCAUCUGACGCAGUCAGCCACGCGCGCGGGGUCGCGUGAGAACCGGGCUGACCGCGCCACGGUCUCAGGAAAUGUACGAGUGUGCGGCUGACAUGGAAAUGCCAGGGCAGCACUUUGAAACCGAUUCACUCUGGGAACCCGAUUAAAAAACGAUGCCUUUGCAGAUAGAUUCAAACUCGUUUGCACGUAGACGAGAUCCGAGUGAAUGAAAACCGGGCUCCGAUGAGACAACGAGGCACACCGAGAUAAGACGGGAGGGAGCGGACGGCGAGCCAGGGCUCCCGCUGGAGACAAAUCCAGAGCAACCGGACGGGACAUAGGAAAAC